rnacentral:rRNA from 1 species
AACGAACGCUGGCGGCAUGCCUAACACAUGCAAGUCGAACGAGACCUUCGGGUCUAGUGGCGCACGGGUGCGUAACGCGUGGGAACCUGCACUUAGGUUCGGAAUAACUCCCCGAAAGGGGUGCUAAUACCGGAUAAUGUCUUCGGACCAAAGAUUUAUCGCCUUUGGAUGGGCCCGCGUUGGAUUAGCUAGUUGGUAGGGUAAAAGCCUACCAAGGCGACGAUCCAUAGCUGGGCUGAGAGAAUGAUCAGCGACACUGGGACUGGGACACGGCCCAGACUCCUACGGGAGGCAGCAGUGGGGAACAUUGGACAGUGGGCGAAAGCCUGAUCCAGCAAUGCCGCGUGAGUGAUGAAGGCCUUAGGGUUGUAAAGCUCUUUUACCCGGGAUGAUAAUGACAGUACCGGGAGAAUAAGCCCCGGCUAACUCCGUG